CUAAGAUAAAGGCAAACUAGCUGAAAGGCUAGGGCGCAAAGUCACAGAUCUAAGGCAUUUAUGCUAUGAUAGCUGGACUGCCGAA
rnacentral:ncRNA from 1 species